CGUCUGAAGGAUUUUGACAUAAUUACAAGUUUGCCCUAGGGUCGACCCUGGGGGUCGACUCAUGGCACAGAGAAAUUCAAAAAAAUGAUGAAAUAAUUUCAAAAAAAUUUGAAACUUUAGGAGAAAGAUGUUUACCCAAAUAUUGAUCAUGUGAAUGAUAAUUUAAGCUUUUGAGCUCAAAACAAAAAGAAAAUUAAGCUCUCAAAAAUUGAAUCAAUAAAUUUUUGGCAUUAAAAAUUUGGAAUCAGAGAGAUACUUAAGCUGAUGGAUCAAGGAUUCCUAAUUUUCUUCU
rnacentral:lncRNA from 1 species